UUUGCUAGUUGAUCGUGUUGUUUUGGUUGCAUGUGUUAUUUUAAUUCGAUCCGCUGAAAACUGUCUCGACUCCCGACUUUCAAAUUCCGGCUCAAUUGUCUCGACUGUGGGCUGUUCCUGGAGUCCGGUUGUUGUUUCGAAGACAGAAUGCUGACAUUGGAUGGUGUUUUCUGGCUGCUGUUAGCUUUCAGCUAUUGGAAAAGGUGCCCCGGGCGAUGCGACUCAGCCGAAGACUAAAUAAACCGGCUCAAAUGUCUCGACUCGGAUCGGACUGGAGGAUGUGGGCUGUUCCUGGAGCCCGGUGGUUGUGUCGAAGACAGAAUGCUGAUAUUGGAUGGCGCUUUCUGGCUGCUGUUGGCUUUCAGCUAUUGAAAAAGGUGCCCCGGGCGAUGCGAUUCAGCCAAGGACUAAAUAAACGCCAGUUUUUUUGGAGUGUACCAAUAUAACUUGGACAGAAAUUUAUUUCAAAAUCUGCAAGAUGUUAAGGCUGUCGUGAUACAUUAGAUUCUCGUGGAAACUUUUCCUACGCAAAGGUUCCGGCGUUCCCUGGCUGAGACUUUCGGAGCAGUGCCGCGCUCGGAGGCUUUUGGAUUCCAACGCUGCUGCUAACUGUGAUGGCAGUCCAAACGUACCAUAUAGCGGUGCCGGUUCGGCUGACUAUGAACUCGGAACGGCCACUUUCCGCAGCUAUUGUCGGUUUACGGGGUGCUUUCGAAACACGUGGCGUAUACCAGUUCAAAUCUUUCUUCGUGUUGAUGUUUUUGUUUGUGAAGUUUUCGUGUAAGAUACGAUAUAUGUUCCAAUAAGUAUUAUCAAGUAUUAUCAUCAUGUUUAUAUUGACAGUCAAAUUGACUGAUUUUGUUAUACAAAACUAAAACAAAAUCGAAUAAAAGUUUGAUGCGAUUUGAUUUUAGUAUUGAUAUGUAUGGAAAAACACAUUUUUUGUUACUAUUCGAAAAUUACUCCAAUAAGAAAAAAGCGAUCAAUUUUGAAAUUUUCAGCUUAGUAAAUGGUUUGUCGGCCUGGUCUACAUGCGUGGGUAUAUCGAUCAUAGAAAAAAACAUACCGAUCAAAAUCAAUUAAGAACAUGAAUAUAAAAUUAAAGAUUACAAUAUAAAAAACACCAUUUAAAUAUCAUCUGAAUCGAAGAUUACCAUCUGUUAAAAGAGUUUAACUAUUUUAUAACAGAUUUAUAAGACUUUCUCAUAGUUUAACUACAAAUUCGAUUAAAUUUUAGAGGUUUUCAUAAAAAUCAGAACAAUUCAGGACAUUUAGGCACCAAUUUUUAAAACUCAGGACAACUCGAGAGUUUUUAAAAGAUUAAGACGGUCUCUCGAAAAUCAGGACAAAUCCCGAUAAAUUAGGUUACCUGGCACCUCUGAGCACAAGAGAAACAACAACAACAACUGAACAAUUGUAAUGCACGUCAGAGGUACCAGGUGUCCUGAUUUUUCAGGACUUGUCCUGACUUUCGAGAGGUUGUCCUGAUUUUUCUAAAACUUUCGAAUUUUCCUGAUUUUUGACAAUUUGUUUUCAAAAUGUUGAAUUGUCCUGGAUGUCAAAAAAAUCUAAAAUCACAA